rnacentral:misc_RNA from 1 species
AAGUCGUAACAAGGUAACCGUAGGUGAACCUGCGGUUGGAUCAUUACUAAAUCCAACUCUUGAAGCUAGUAAUAGCUGAUGGAAAACUUAGAGUGGUAGGCUUUUACAGCUUAUCAUUCGACACACCUCUUGUGAACCAAAUUGUCUUUGAAGUUUUGCAGACUAAGAGUUUAGGCUCAAGGAAAGCAGCUUCAAUCAAUAUAAACUUUUAAUAGUCAGCCUUUUUAUUCAUAAUUCGAAAAGAUUACCUUUGGGUAGCCUCUAGAAAUAUAACAAUAAGAAAACAACUUUUGACAACGGAUCUCUUGGCUCUC